GUAACACCUACCCAAUGCAGUGGUGAAGAAAAAUGUGUGUGGUCAGACUGGAUCAACCUUGGUCAGCCAACGACUGGCUCUGAAGGUGGAGAUAAUGAAUCCAUUAAGAACAUAAUUUCUGCUGGUUAUCACAUUUGCUCAGCUCCAGAGGCAGUUGAAUGUAGAGCAAAACAAUACCCUGGACUUCAGAUCUCUCAGCUUGGCCAAGACGUGACUUGCAACCCAUCCGUUGGACUGAUUUGUCAAAACAAUAAGCAAGGUCUUCAGCAAAAGUGCUUUGAUUACGAGAUUCGAGUGAAAUGUUGUCAAUGUGGAACCAUAACACACAUCCCCA